rnacentral:rRNA from 1 species
AUGGCUCUUGUCGGCGCCACCGGGCUCGACCACAGGCGCAGGCCCCGUCACAGCCACAAGGUUAUCGCCUCCACGCCGCCUCUGGAGCAGCAGGUCUUCCUCCUGCAGCAGCACGCGGUGGUGGUGACCGCCGUCAGCAAGGUCCACGCCGCAAGCCCGUUCUCCAUCGGCCGGGCCAUCGAGAAGGAGUUCAAUAUCCCGCCCCACCUCCUCCGCGUCACCAACCACGACCCGGAGGACUUCUUCGUCCACUUCCACCUGCCCGCCCACAAGGACCUGGUCGUGCGCCAGGGCUCGAUCUCGGUGGACGGCGUCCAGUUCCUCCUGGAACCCUGGCGCGAAGACGCACACGCGAUGCACGCCACCUGGAUGCUGCACGUGCGUGUCGUCCUCGAUAAGCUGCCCAUGCAGCUUUGGACCCUGGAGGGGGCGGUGGACGCGCUCGGCGACCAGGUCAUCAUCGACCGGCUGGACAGCCGCACCUUCGAGCGGGCUGACACGAAGACGUUCGCCGUCUGGGUGUGG